rnacentral:SRP_RNA from 1 species
GCUGGGCGUAGUGGUGCAUGCCUAUCUAUAGUCCUGGCUUCUUAGGAGGCUGAGGCUGGGGGAAUCACUUGAGCCCGGGAGUUCUGAGCUGUAGUGCGCUGUGCUCAUUGGGUGUCUGCACUAAGUUAGGCAUCAUGUGAUGAACUCCCAGGAGCGGGGGACCAGCGAAGCUUCCUAAGGAGAAGUGAACCGGUUCAGGUCAGAAACAGAGCAGGUUAAAACUCCCAUGCUGAUCAGUAGUGGAAUCACACAUGUGAAGAGCCCCAGCACUCCCACCUGGGCAACAAAGUGAGACCUUGUCUCU